CAAAUAGUAGCUUAACACAAAGCAUUCAGCUUACAAUUGAAUAAUGUUAGUAAAAACCUAACCUUUUUGA
rnacentral:tRNA from 1 species